AUUGAACGCUGGUGGCGUGCUUAACACAUGCAAGUCGAGCGAGAAAGUUCUCUUCGGAGAGCGAGUAGAGCGGCGCACGGGUGAGUAACGCGUGGGUAACGUACCUUGUUGACUGGGAUAACAGUUGGAAACGACUGCUAAUACCGGAUGUGAUACAUAUUUAACUUUAUGUGUGAAAGGUGGCCUCUUUUUAAGCUACCGCAACGAGAUCGGCCCGCGUUUCAUUAGCUUGAUGGUGGGGUAAUGGCCUACCAUGGCUACGAUGAAUAGCUGGUCUGAGAGGAUGAUCAGCCACACUGGAACUGAAACACGGUCCAG
rnacentral:rRNA from 1 species